AGAGUUUGAUCAUGGCUCAGGAUGAACGUUGGCGGUGUGCCUAAUACAUGCAAGUCGAACGGAGUUAAUAGCAAUAUUGACUUAGUGGCGAACGGGUGAGUAACGCGUUGGUGAUCUGCCUCAAAGUGUGGAAUAACGUUCCGAAAGGAACGCUAAUACCGCAUGUGCUCUCGAUUUUUAGAAAGUUGAGAGUAAAGGAUUUAUUCGCUUUGAGAGGAGCCUGCGUCCCAUCAGCUAGUUGGUAGGGUAAUAGCCUACCAAGGCUUUGACGGGUAGGGGACCUGAGAGGGUGGCCCCCCACAAUGGAACUGAAACACGGUCCAUACACCUACGGGUGGCAGCAGUAGGGAAUAUUAGAAAUGGACGAAAGUCUGAUCUAGCGACACCGCGUGUGCGAUGAAGGCCUUCGGGUUGUAAAGCACUUUUUGGAAGGAAUAGGAAGGAAGGUACUUCCAGAAUAAGUCUCGGCUAACUACGUGCCAGCAGCCG
rnacentral:rRNA from 1 species